rnacentral:rRNA from 1 species
AUACGUAGGUGGCAAGCGUUGUCCGGAUUUACUGGGCGUAAAGGAUGCGUAGGCGGAUUUUUAAGUGAGAUGUGAAAUACCCGGGCUUAACUUGGGUGCUGCAUUUCAAACUGGGAAUCUAGAGUGCGGGAGAGGAGAAUGGAAUUCCUAGUGUAGCGGUGAAAUGCGUAGAGAUUAGGAAGAACACCAGUGGCGAAGGCGAUUCUCUGGACCGUAACUGACGCUGAGGCAUGAAAGCGUGGGUAGCAAACAGGAUUAGAUACCCUGGUAGUCCACGCCGUAAACGAUGAGUACUAGGUGUAGGAGGUAUCGACCCCUUCUGUGCCGCAGUUAACACAAUAAGUACUCCGCCUGGGAAGUACGAUCGCAAGAUUAA